GUUAUGAAGAGUUGGUUUCAUUCAUUGAAGAAACAGGGAUCUCGGUGGUUCACAGAAGACUAGGGUUUGGUAGACAACAAGUGAAUACACUUCUCUCUUUGCUACAGACCCUCUACAAUACGAUGUCACUGAAUAUUGUACGGAUUUCAGUCAGAGCUUCAGAUGUCCCACGUACAGUUGGCUUGAACUCGCAUUACAUAGGAACCCUUACAUUUGAUUAUACCAAAGAGGAUGCUGAUUUUGUUGGACAGGAAAGUUAUAAUACAACAAUGACAUUUUUGAAGAAUUUCAUGGCAAAAAUAUUGAUGGAAAGGAAAACCAAAGCAUGAAGAAUCACUGGAUAAUUGAAAAAAAAAACCCGCUUAUG